ACACCAUAGCAACAAAACAUAAGUAAUAAACAAAGGCAGAGAAAAAUCAACAAAUGGGAGGCGCGUUGGCACCUCAGGAUGACGUCAUAGGAAGGAGGAGUCACAUCGCUUCAUUGACAGGGAAGGGCGAGUUGGAGGCAGUGCGAGCUGGCCCGGACCAAAGUUUUGGCGUGAGCGUGGGUGGGGGAAUUAGCCGAAUGUGUACUCCUAGAACUUCCACGACGAGUCACGCAGGACUGUCUCAGCAUUCCGCAGGGAGACGCGUGGGUUUCCUUCCUGUUCCCACGCCUCGAAGCAGGAAGACACGCCCGCCAAGUCAUCUGCUUCAGGGAAAUGAUCGAAUCAGCGUGAAAAAAACAGGAAUGCUAACGAGAAGCUUCCUCUUCUUCCAGGUUCAAACGUCCUAUCAACCAAGCAUCCCUAACCACCACUUCCACUUCGCCAGCUUCGUCAGUACAUUUCCACGCGUCGCGGGAACCAGCACGCUCCAACACGCUGGCAAGAUAGUGGCAACUCUUACACCAAUGACGUCACUGCGGGAGGGGAGGGUGAGUCAGUCUCAUUCAUCGCCACGUUGCUGGACUCGUCUCAUCCUGACUUGCUGUUUGCCUCCGUCAGGAAAAGUAGAUCGCUCACAGACGAUGAAUAUAAACACAUGCCCUCAGCCGUCACGUGAUUGAGAUAUACGUUGAAAUAGGAAAGAAAUGGGUGGACGUAGAAUGAGAGAAAAAGAACAGAAGGAAAGAAACAGGGAGAGUGGGAGGGAGAGAGCGGUUGGGUGAGGUGUACUGGUAG